rnacentral:sRNA from 1 species
AUGGACCACGCGUCCACUGCGGUUCUGAGCGCGCCGUCCGCGCCCACCNUACCUGUUGUUCGCC